rnacentral:lncRNA from 1 species
CCCUUUGCAUCUAUGGAAGACGGCGCUUCCAUCUUCACCCAGCCAGCGUCGCGACCCAUCUUCUCUUACCUUUCCACGGGCUAAGUAGUGGGAUCCAGAUCAGAAGAAGGCCCUUCACGAAGGUGCAUCCACAACCUCUCGUCUCCUUUUCCCCUCACUGUCAUGGCUGCCCCAUUCCAAAAUCUAGCGUAUUCACCAUAUGCAACUUGUCUCACAGUUUAGGAAGAAGCCUUAUCUGUGUAACAGGCGGAGGUUGGAGUAGGGGAGGAGGAGAUCAUGUGCAAAUAAUCAUAAUUUUCCCUGAUGUGCAUUACGUAGAACCUGUACUAUCAACACCUGUACCGUGAGGCAGGCACAAGGUGCGGCCUAUCCUCGCAUGCAGAGGUUUUACCUUGUUAAAUUCUAUACAAUUAUGCAGAACCUAUAGCCCAUGAAUGACACACUUUGUUUGGACAUGUAUAUGUUGGUUAUCCCUUAAUGUAGUUUCAGAGUUAGGAGUUUACCAUCACACUAUUUUUAGGCAAAGACUAAUCCUCUCAUGCAGAGAUUUUACAUUGUUAAAUUCUAAGUGAUGAAGGCACUCCGGCGGCGGGUACAUGUUGGACACUCACGAUGAGCCGACCAACUGCAGGAACAGGAAGGCGAUGGUGAACGAGUCGCCACCGCCAUCGCAGGUCCUGAACCAGUGGAUCACCUUCUGCGCUGACAACUCCCUGAGUGAGCGCGUCAGCGAAUGGCUGAGAAGCGUCGAGUGCGAGUGCGUCCGUGAGGAUGAGUAAGACGGUGGUGAUGACCAGUUCUUCCACCAAGCAAUUGCAUUGUCCCGGUGUUCUCUUAUUCCAAAAAAACAUUGCAUACAAGUGAUGUUCAUGCUGGCUGUGGUCAACUGAUUUUGGCAGAUUAUUGAGCUUGGUGAUCUAUUUAUUUGAUUAUGCAUGACUGUGCGAUCAGUACCAAAAGAACAGACAUACUGACAAUGUGUAUCUUCAGUAACUGAUGAGUGAUGCUUACUUACGUAUACUGUUUCAGAUUUGGAGCCGGAACAAGAUUUGUUGUCUUUGGUUAUAGACUAACCGGUACACUUUUCUUUAUCUCCCUUUAAUUUUUUAUUUGUCCUUUGUAUUCCAGUUUAAAUUAUGGUGUCCAUAAUACUCUGAUAUUCAUUUCAUUUAUUUUGUUUUGCGAAGGACUUGCCAAUGGGCUUCUGGAAUUGAAUAUUAGCAAGGGCAGCCUUGAAGAUACUCAGACGAUCUUAACUUGUGGCUCUUUUUUCUUUUUGCUUGACUGCAGUAUCUUCUCAUUUCUUAUGCCAUAAUCAAAUAUUAUUGAGAGCUUGCCAAAUAAAUAGACCAUGGGCUAAUGAAAAGUAUUCAAAUGCUUAUGUACUGACCACAUCAGGACAUUUACACUUAAAGAGAUUCGGGUCUGUUUACUGAAGCUUGUCAGUCUCACUCUUUG